rnacentral:tRNA from 1 species
UGGGAUGUAGCUCAACGGUGAGAGCAGUUGCCUUAUACGCAAAAGGUUGUCAGUUCGAAUCUGGCCGCCCCGA